rnacentral:rRNA from 1 species
CAGCAGCCGCGGUAACACGUAGGGGGCGAGCGUUGUCCGGAAUUACUGGGCGUAAAGGGCGCGUAGGCGGCUUAAUAAGUCUGAUGUGAAACCCCUGGGCUUAACCCUGGGCUUGCAUUAGAAACUGUUAGGCUUGAGGGCAGGAGAGGAAAGCGGAAUUCCCAGUGUAGCGGUGAAAUGCGUAGAUAUUGGGAAGAACACCAGUGGCGAAGGCGGCUUUCUGGACUGUCACUGACGCUGAGGCGCGAAAGCCAGGGUAGCGAACGGGAUUAGAUACCCCGGUAGUCCUGGCCGUAAACGAUGGAUACUAGGUGUGGGAGGUAUCGACCCCUUCCGUGCCGCAGUUAACACAUUAAGUAUCCCGCCUGGGGAGUACGGCCGCAAGGCUGAAACUCAAAGGAAUUGACGGGGGCCCGCACAAGCGGUGGAGCAUGUGGUUUAAUUCGAUGCAACGCGAAGAACCUUACCAGGUCUUGACAUCCCUCUGACCGGUAUAGAGAUAUACCUUUCCUUCGGGACAGAGGUGACAGGAGGUGCAUGGCC